AAAUCCGAUUUUCGUUUAAUUUUAGUUUGGUUUGAACCUGUCAAUUUUUUUUACAAUAUUUUUUCUAUUAGGUACCUACCAUAAGAAUUUAACAAAUUUUAACGUGAAAUGUUAGCAAAGUAAUAACUAAACGUGCUUUAAAAGUAUCUAAAUUCGUACCAAAUGAUAAUAGUGUCGUAAUUGGCUAAGCAUGGCACGAUGUCGCCGGAAAAGAAAACUAUGUAAGACCCGCUGUCGUACUAAGACUGGACGUUUCAAGAAAUGUCGCCGCUGUGACCGGAGGUACCCUGUGCGGCAGCCAUGCUGCAAGCCGCGGCGUUGCAAGCGUAGACGCAGGAGUUGUCGUCGGCGAUCCAGGUCUAGGUGUUGAGCAUCUUCUAGCUGCGAUGCAAAGAAAAGUCACCUCAUCGUUCGAAAUUUCACUGGUCCACCAGCACCCACCUACAUCGCCAAACGUGAUGUGUCCUCUUCUUUCCACCCUGCUGAAUGAAAGACCUGACAAUAUGCAUGUAUACCUACCGAUGUCGCUCCCGAUCCGGGUCCUUCAAGCGAUGCAGGCGCUGCGAUCGUCGCUACCCCAUCCGAAAACGUUAACAUUUCGUGUCUUAAAAACUAAAACUACAAAAAUUUUGGCAGAUCCAGUCUCUCUCGUUGGUGUUUUGAUAUCACACAGAAGUUUUUAUUUGAGAAAUUGUGAAUGUAAAUAUUUAUAUCUAUGGCGAAAUUCACGAAUAUAUUUUAUGUAA